GUCACCAGAGAGUCAGCGCCUCCCGACAGCAGCAGCUCUUGGCCAACUCGGGAGGCACACGCAGCUGGACGUGGGGGCACCCUGAGCUGGGAAGGACCUUCUUGCUGCUGCUGUGACCGGGGCACUGAGGCACUGUUCUGGAAGGUGCCUCGGCAUAAAGACCCUCCAUCUGGGGAGGAAGGGAGACGGGAGGAGGGCCAGGGUGCUCUCUCGGGCCUGGCUCUGGGAUGCCCAGCCCAGGUGGCCGUGGCCGGGGUGGCAGCGAGAGGAGGCAGCCUCAGCCGUGCUGUGGUUUUCCUCCGUGUGACAGCACGACCACGACGCUCAUGCCCCAGCCCAGCCGAUGACCGACGAGGAAAAUAAAAUGGAAUUUAAACCUCA